rnacentral:rRNA from 1 species
CACUCCUGCGGGAGGCAGCAGUGGGGAAUUUUGGACAAUGGGCGAAAGCCUGAUCCAGCAAUGCCGCGUGAGUGAAGAAGGCCUUCGGGUUGUAAAGCUCUUUUGUCAGGGAAGAAACGGUGAAAGCUAAUAUCUUUUGCUAAUGACGGUACCUGAAGAAUAAGCACCGGCUAACUACGUGCCAGCAGCCGCGGUAAUACGUAGGGUGCAAGCGUUAAUCGGAAUUACUGGGCGUAAAGCGUGCGCAGGCGGUUGUGUAAGUCAGAUGUGAAAUCCCCGGGCUCAACCUGGGAAUUGCAUUUGAGACUGCACGGCUAGAGUGUGUCAGAGGGGGGUAGAAUUCCACGUGUAGCAGUGAAAUGCGUAGAUAUGUGGAGGAAUACCGAUGGCGAAGGCAGCCCCCUGGGAUAACACUGACGCUCAUGCACGAAAGCGUGGGGAGCAAACAGGAUUAGAAACCCCUGUAGUCCC